UGGGGAAUUGUUCACAAUGGGCGCAAGCCUGAUGACGCAACGCCGCGUGGAGGAUGAAGGUCUUCGGAUUGUAAACUCCUGUUGCUCGGGACGAAAAGCCUCGACCUAACACGUCGAGGUCUGACGGUACCGAGUGAGGAAGCCCCGGCUAACUCUGUGCCAGCAGCCGCGGUAAUACAGAGGGGGCAAGCGUUGUUCGGAAUUACUGGGCGUAAAGGGCGCGUAGGCGGCCCGCUAAGUCGAACGUGAAAUCCCCGAGCUCAACUCGGGAACUGCGUCCGAUACUGGCGGGCUUGAAUCCGGGAGAGGGAUGCGGAAUUCCAGGUGUAGCGGUGAAAUGCGUAGAUAUCUGGAGGAACACCGGUGGCGAAGGCGGCAUCCUGGACCGGCAUUGACGCUGAGGCGCGAAAGCUAGGGGAGCAAACGG
rnacentral:rRNA from 1 species